GCUCCAAUCACUCUAUCACAAAAAAAUAAGAGUUGUAGAAAUGAUUGACAACUCAAGACAGCCAUGACAUUAUGUUCUUUACAACUUUUGACCAUGACUGUAUGUGCAGCUAAAAAGAAGAAGAUGAAAUGGGCAAAGUGAAAGGAAACAGAGUCAUGGCACUAAUGGGACACUUACCUGACUAAGACACUGGAGGGCUGGUUGCACAUGCGCCUUAAAGCCAAGCUGAACCUGUUUGGAGACUUAGUUUUAGACUAGUCAGGAAGUAGAAGAGCAGAAUUUUGCUUCUUGAUGCUUCUGAUUGAAUUCCCAGCUGAAAAGAUGUGAUAUGAGUGAAGAUGCACCUUCUGGAUGGACUUCCUUCACCAGAGUGAGGUGUCUGCUUAGCAUGAGCAGCGUAACCAGCUCAUGGUGCGUUUUGUGCUCCGACAGCUGGUGACGGUGGUAACGAGCUCUCAGAGAGACGUGAAGGCUAAAGGCUGAGUGACACACAGCAGUCGGCACACAGAUGCUUUGUGCACUGGAACACAGAGAGAUGUCUCCAUCACUGAGGGACCUCAUCACACUUGGACAUUUCUCUGACAUCUGCACAAAUUUGUCACGAUCCGCUACUCUGAUCGUUUAUUGUUUCGGCGUUUAUAUGUUGUUGAUCAUGUUUAGUUCUGGACUCGGCCGAUUCCUGUGUUUGUGCACUUCCUAUUGUAUCUUGUUUCCAUGGUUUCUUAUUUGUCCCAGCUGCUAUGCCUUUGUCGCACAUCUGAUGGCAAUUAUUAUUUGUGUAUUUAGGCCCACCUGAUUCCUUAGUUCGUUCUCGGUCCAUUGUUUGCUAAGGGCAACAGUUACGUAUGUAUUCUCUGCUUAUCUCUGCUUUAGUUGUGCUAAAUUCCGUCUUAGCUUCGCGUGCGUUCGGCACGUCACCGUUUUGGACCCUUUUGUAUCCUAAGUUUAGCGUUAGCUUCCAUGCGUAGGCACGCGCUUUAUUUUGUCCUUUUGUACCAGUGUUAUUUUAUUUUUGUAUUAAAAAUCAAGUUCUUACCCGCAA